rnacentral:lncRNA from 1 species
AGCAGCUACAUCUCCACCAAUUAAUGAUUUUCUAGUUAAAUCUUACCCAUUGAAACUAGCCGACUCAUCUAGUCUUGCCAUUAUCAUUUUCCUAUAAAUAGGAGAUUAACUCCAUUUUUUUUUUCCGGCAUGAGCUCGCAUGCAAUGGAUGCUCUGGAGCUCGUUCACUUAAUAUAUAUAUAUAUAUAUAUAUAUAUUAUAUAUAUAUAUAUAUAUAUAUAUAUAGAUGUCUAUGUGGAGAGGAGAGAUGGUUGAGAGAGACCAGAAACUAGAAACUAGUCCUCCAACCUACUCAACCUGUAUCUCGCUAUUUAUGGGUAACAAUUUCCAUACUCUGUUUUAUACCUUCUUUGUAUCUGCCAUGGAGUCGUUAUUCAAAGCUAGUUUAUGCAUAUGCUUAUUUCGAUCAAAUAUAUUGUAUUCGGCUUUAAGUAUGUAUAUUUCUUUGAGUUGGAUGUUUUAAUUAUAAAAUAUGAAAGGGCUAUGGAUAAUACCCUAGUUUGACAAUCCAAUUCAAUUUCCUUUUCCAAACUACUUAUUACUUAUGUAUUAUGCUAAUUUAAUUGAGAAUAGAUAAAGUUUAUAUCUACAUAUCUAUCUGCCGCUGGUUUCACAUUAUCCAACUAUAUAUAGUUAUCUUUUUCUGCAUUUGUAUAUACUGUAACAAAAGCAUACUUAGUCUUCAGCUUGUUUGCACUAUAUACAUAUAUAUAUCGUUUUAGUUAUAUUAAAUGAAGAAGCAUGUUGGUAAAUGGUUUUCUGUACAGUUUAAUUUAUACAUAUUACUUGAAUGGUUUUGAAGGCAAAUGACUUUUGAAUAAGCACUAUAUAUGUUUGCUAUGUCCAAAACUAUUUUGUACAGCAAUAUAGUUCAACCAAAUGACUUUUGAAUUGAGUAGCGUGGAACUAAUGAGCUUAAGUGAGUUGAUUCGUAUUAAAGUUCAUAUCAUACAUUUGGUAAUUUUCUUAUACUUGUGAAUAGGAGUUUACCACAGUUGUGGUUUCUUGUGUUAAUAUCUCGGAGCAAUGCUUUGGAAUCCAGGUAGGGGAAAUACGGUAGACCUUUACUGGCUUUAUUAAAUUUUGUGAAGCGUUAUAUUAUUAUUGUUAUUGAUCUUGUUGGUUGAUUAAUGUGAUCUAGUUUACUAAUUAGACAAAUACUGCUCUUGCGUGUUUACUUGUUAUUGGUUAUGGAAUUAUUGGUGAAAUGAUAUUCACUGAGAAUAUGUUGUGGUACAUGUGAAUGAUGAAAUGAGAUUAUUUGUACAUUACUCAUGUAUGAGAAUAGUUGGAAGUUCGGUGUUGAGAAAGGAACUGGAAAUGAGGGUAGUUGGAAAGGAUCUUUUGUGUAGUUGAGCCAAACUCUUAGCAGGUACCAGGUCUCAGGUGAGCCCACAGUGCACAGAUUCUUUAAGGGUAAUUCAGAACUGGUGAUGAAGAGUUUAGGCAAGAUGACUAACAAAAGGGGGAAUUGGGAUGAUUGAGUUACAGGGGGUUUAUUUGUAUAUUAAAUCAUUCGAACCACCACUGCAGAGGUAAAAUGCACAGUAUGGGACGUGCAGGUCUGCGUGUUUUAUUAUAUGAAUUAACAGGUAGAGAUGAAGAGUAUUGUAUCACACUCAUGCAUUGUUGAUGAUAAUGGUUUGGUACUUGAUUACAUGAUUUUAUGACACGUAAUUUAAUUUUGUCAAUUUACUGUGAUAAUGUUAUGUCCCUACUGAGCUGUUGAAGCUCAUCCCUAUAUUGUUAUGCAGGUUUAAGAACUAAACAGUAAUAAAAGGGUAGACGGGAUGAGAUCGGAUUAAGUGUGAGAAUAAAAUUUUGUAUUUAUUUAUUUAGCCUUGUAAAGAAUUAUUGAGUUAUUUUAAAUAAGAAGAAUUUUAUUUUUCACUCUGUUA